rnacentral:rRNA from 1 species
CCUACGGGAGGCAGCAGUGGGGAAUAUUGGUCAAUGGCCGGAAGGCUGAACCAGCCAUGCCGCGUGAAGGUCAGUGCCCUAUGGGCGUUAAACUUCUUUUGUGCGGGAGCAAUAAUGGUCACGUGUGGCCAGACGAGAGUACCGUACGAAUAAGCAUCGGCUAACUCCGUGCCAGCAGCCGCGGUAAUACGGGGGAUGCAAGCGUUAUCCGGAUUUAUUGGGGUUAAAGGGUGCGUAGGCUGUGAGGUAAGUCAGCGGUGAAAUGCCCCGGCUCAACGGGGUGAAGUGCCAUUGAUACUGCCUUGCUGGAAUGCGGAUGCCGUGGGAGGAAUGUGUGGUGUAGCGGUGAAAUGCAUAGAUAUCACACAGAACACCGAUUGCGAAGGCAUCUCACGAAUCCGCGAUUGACGCUGAUGCACGAAAGCGUGGGUAUCAAACAGGAUUAGAUACCCUUGUAGUC